GUCUCAGUGGCAUUGUGAUUAGUGCACAGCCUCGGAAAGGUUGAGAGGCGGGUUUGAUUCCCGCCUGAGAUG
rnacentral:tRNA from 1 species